rnacentral:rRNA from 1 species
CCUACGGGAGGCAGCAGUGAGGAAUAUUGGUCAAUGGGCUUACGCCUGAACCAGCCAAGUCGCGUGAGGGAAGACUGCCCUAUGGGUUGUAAACCUCUUUUGUCAGGGAGCAACGCCGGCUACGUGUAGCCGGACUGAGAGUACCUGAAGAAAAAGCAUCGGCUAACUCCGUGCCAGCAGCCGCGGUAAUACGGAGGAUGCGAGCGUUAUCCGGAUUUAUUGGGUUUAAAGGGUGCGUAGGCGGAAUGCCAAGUCAGCGGUAAAAUCGCGGGGCUCAACCUCGCUCCGCCGUUGAAACUGGCGUUCUUGAGUACAGUAGAGGUGGGCGGAAUUCGUGGUGUAGCGGUGAAAUGCUUAGAUAUCACGAAAAACUCCGAUUGCGAAGGCAGUUCACUGGACUGCAACUGACACUGAGGCUCGAAAGUGUGGGUAUCAAACAGGAUUAGAUACCCUGGUAGUC